rnacentral:tRNA from 1 species
GCCGAAGUGGCGGAAUGGCAGACGCGGAAGUCUCAAAAACUUUUGACUGCAAGGUCGUGUGGGUUCGACUCCCACCUUCGGCACCA